AUAGGGACAAGCGAAUAAGUGCACAUGGUGGAUGCCUUGGCGAUUACAGGCGAUGAAGGACGUAGUAGCUUGCGAUAAGCUGCGGGGAGUGAGCAAACACACUUUGAUCCGCAGAUUUCCGAAUGGGGCAACCCACCCUUUUAGGGUAUUGCAUACUGAAUACAUAGGUAUGCAAGGCGAACGCGGCGAACUGAAACAUCUAAGUAGCUGCAGGAAAAGAAAUCAACCGAGAUUCCCAAAGUAGCGGCGAGCGAAAUGGGAAGAGCCUGUACGUGAUAGUCGGACCGAUAACAGAAUCCUCUGGAAAUAGGAGCCAUAGUGGGUGAUAGCCCCGUAUGUGAAAUCGGACCGGUGGUACUAAGCGUACGACAAGUAGGGCGGGACACGUGACAUCCUGUCUGAAUAUGGGGGGACCAUCCUCCAAGGCUAAAUACUCGUAAUCGACCGAUAGUGAACCAGUACCGUGAGGGAAAGGCGAAAAGAACCCCGGAAGGGGAGUGAAAUAGAUCCUGAAACCGUGUGCAUACAAACAGUAGGAGCGGACUUGUUCCGUGACUGCGUACCUUUUGUAUAAUGGGUCAGCGACUUACAUUCAGUGGCAAGGUUAACCAGAUAGGGAAGCCGUAGAGAAAUCGAGUCCGAAUAGGGCGAUCAGUCGCUGGGUGUAGACCCGAAACCAAGUGAUCUACUCAUGGCCAGGAUGAAGGUGCGGUAACACGCCCUGGAGGUCCGAACCCACUAAUGUUGAAAAAUUAGGGGAUGAGCUGUGGGUAGGGGUGAAAGGCUAAACAAACUUGGAAAUAGCUGGUUCUCUCCGAAAACUAUUUAGGUAGUGCCUCAAGUAUCACCAUCGGGGGUAGAGCACUGUUAUGGCUAGGGGGUCAUUGCGACUUACCAAACCAUUGCAAACUCCGAAUACCGAUGAGUGCGAGCUUGGGAGACAGACGUCGGGUGCUAACGUCCGGCGUCAAGAGGGAAACAACCCAGACCGCCAGCUAAGGUCCCAAAGAUUGGCUAAGUGGAAAACGAAGUGGGAAGGCUAAAACAGUCAGGAUGUUGGCUUAGAAGCAGCCAUCAUUUAAAGAAAGCGUAAUAGCUCACUGAUCGAGUCGUCCUGCGCGGAAGAUGUAACGGGGCUAAGCCAGUCACCGAAGCUGCGGAUAUUGUU
rnacentral:rRNA from 1 species